rnacentral:rRNA from 1 species
AUGCUUCUCCUAAAGACUAAGCCAUGCAUGUCUUCGAAUAAGAGGAAGCAAUUCUCUCUGAAUCUGCGAACGGCUCCGCAAACCAGUUGUAAACUAUAGCAAGUAAGCCCGGGCCCCUUCUCACGAGGGGGUUCGGGUGAUAUGGAUAACCCUGGUAAUUCUGAGGCUAAUACGAGACCGUAAUCCCUGGUUGGUCGGGCAACUGACUGGCUGGGGAGCGUGUGAUCUUCCGCUGAUUUUUUCCGGGAACGGGUA